CAUGACGUGAGGAGUGCUUUACGCCUCUUUCAGGGUCGAAACAAGGAAAGACUCCUGAAUGAGUUCUUCU
rnacentral:sRNA from 16 species